rnacentral:rRNA from 1 species
UACGUAGGGUGCGAGCGUUUGUCCGGAAUUAUUGGGCGUAAAGAGCUCGUAGGCGGCUUGUUGCGUCGGGAGUGAAAACACUGGGCUUAACUCAGUGCUUGCUUUCGAUACGGGCAGACUAGAGGUAUGCAGGGGAGAACGGAAUUCCUGGUGUAGCGGUUGAAAAUGCGCAGAUAUCAGGAGGAACACCGGGUGGCGAAGGCGGGUCUCUGGGCCGAUACUGACGCUGAGGAGCGAAAGCGUGGGGAGCGAACAGG